rnacentral:siRNA from 1 species
ACGCUCUGUUUUACACUAUGAUGC